AGUGAACGCUGGCGGUAGGCCUAACACAUGCAAGUCGAACGGCAGCACAGUAAGAGCUUGCUCUUACGGGUGGCGAGUGGCGGACGGGUGAGGAAUACAUCGGAAUCUACUUUUUCGUGGGGGAUAACGUAGGGAAACUUACGCUAAUGCCGCAUACGACCUACGGGUGAAAGCAGGGGAUCCUCGGACCUUGCGCGAUUGAAUGAGCCGAUGUCGGAUUAGCUAGUUGGCGGGGUAAAGGCCCACCAAGGCGACGAUCCGUAGCUGGUCUGAGAGGAUGAUCAGCCACACUGGAACUGAGACACGGUCCAGACUCCUACGGGAGGCAGCAGUGGGGAAUAUUGGACAAUGGGCGCAAGCCUGAUCCAGCCAUACCGCGUGGGUGAAGAAGGCCUUCGGGUUGUAAAGCCCUUUUGUUGGGAAAGAAAAGCAGCAGGUUAAUACCCCGCUGUUCCGACGGUACCCAAAGAAUAAGCACCGGCUAACUUCGUG
rnacentral:rRNA from 1 species